rnacentral:rRNA from 1 species
AAAUUGAAGAGUUUGAUCAUGGCUCAGAUUGAACGCUGGCGGCAGGCCUAACACAUGCAAGUCGAACGGUAACAGGAAGCAGCUUGCUGCUUUGCUGACGAGUGGCGGACGGGUGAGUAAUGUCUGGGAAACUGCCUGAUGGAGGGGGAUAACUACUGGAAACGGUGGCUAAUACCGCAUAACGUCGCAAGACCAAAGAGGGGGACCUUCGGGCCUCUUGCCAUCAGAUGUGCCCAGAUGGGAUUAGCUWGUUGGUGAGGUAACGGCUCACCAAGGCGACGAUCCCUAGCUGGUCUGAGAGGAUGACCAGCCACACUGGAACUGAGACACGGUCCAGACUCCUACGGGAGGCAGCAGUGGGGAAUAUUGCACAAUGGGCGCAAGCCUGAUGCAGCCAUGCCGCGUGUAUGAAGAAGGCCUUCGGGUUGUAAAGUACUUUCAGCGGGGAGGAAGGUGUUGUGGUUAAUAACCGCAGCAAUUG